rnacentral:rRNA from 1 species
GAUGAACGCUGGCGGCGUGCCUAAUACAUGCAAGUCGAGCGAACAGACGAGGAGCUUGCUCCUCUGACGUUAGCGGCGGACGGGUGAGUAACACGUGGAUAACCUAUCUAUAAGACUGGGAUAACUUCGGGAAACCGGAGCUAAUACCGGAUAAUAUAUUGAACCGCAUGGUUCAAUAGUGAAAGACGGUUUUGCUGUCACUUAUAGAUGGAUCCGAGCCGAAUUAGCUAGUUGGUAAGGUAACGGCUUACCAAGGCAACGAUGAGUGGCCGAACUGAGAGGGUGAUCGGCCACACUGGAACUGAGACACGGUCCAGACUCCUACGGGAGGCAGCAGUAGGGAAUCUUCCGCAAUGGGCGAAAGCCUGACGGAGCCACGCCGCGUGAGUGAUGAAGGUCUUCGGAUCGUAAAACUCUGUUAUUAGGGAAGAACAAAUGUGUAAGUAACUAUGCACGUCUUGACGGUACCUAAUCAGAAAGCCCCGGCUAACUACGUG